AUGAUUAAAAUUGAUCUUGCAAAGGCUUUUGAUCGCUUAGAAUGGAACUUUAUUGUCUCGGCUCUUGCUAGAAAAGGGUUGCAAAGCCAUUUCAUUAAUUUAAUCUAUGCAUGUAUCUCUACUGCAUCCUUCUCUGUUAUCAUUAAUGGCCAAUCAUAUGCAAAAUUCAGGAAUAGCAGAGGCAUUAGGCAAGGUUGUCCUCUUUCGCCAUACCUUUUUGUACUGGCCAUAUUGUCUCUCUCUCUCUCUCUCUCUCUCUCUCUCUCUCCUAACCAACUCACAGGAGUUUCUCUUGGUCCGAAUUGCCCUCCUAUACACUCACUAAUGUUUGCAGAUGACCUCUUAGUUUGUGGGCAAGCUACUACUCAAGAGGCAACGACCAUGAGUCAAAUCAUUCAAGCAUUCUGUAACAGGUCAGGUCAAAUUCCAAAUUGGAAUAAAUCUGGUAUUAUCUUCAGUAAAGGUGUGGAUAGCAACAUUAAACAGGCUAUCAAAAGCAUCUUCCCAGUUCCAGAUAUAGAUAACAACACUAUCCACUUGGGACAUCCCCUUAUUCUUCCAGCCAAAGACAGAUUCACAGCCUAUAAUUUUGUCAUUGACAAAUUCAAAGCCAAGCUACCUGGUUACAAAGCUAAUAAACUUUCUCAUGCAGCCAGGCUCACUCUCAUAAAUUAUGUCUUUGCUUCAAUUCCUGUUUAUUACAUGUCUAAUAUUCUGUUCCCCAAAAAAUUCUUAUCCAAACUCACUUCAAUCAUUAGAAACUUUUGGUGGACAGGGGUGAGAGAAUAA
rnacentral:rRNA from 1 species